UGGGGAAUAUUGGACAAUGGGCGAAAGCCUGAUCCAGCCAUGCCGCGUGAGUGAAGAAGGCCUUCGGGUUGUAAAGCUCUUUUGUUGGGAAAGAAAAGCAAUCGGCCAAUACCCGGUUGUUCUGACGGUACCCAAAGAAUAAGCACCGGCUAACUUCGUGCCAGCAGCCGCGGUAAUACGAAGGGUGCAAGCGUUACUCGGAAUUACUGGGCGUAAAGCGUGCGUAGGUGGUUCGUUAAGUCUGAUGUGAAAGCCCUGGGCUCAACCUGGGAAUUGCACUGGAUACUGGCGGGCUAGAGUGCGGGAGAGGAUGGCGGAAUUCCUGGUGUAGCAGUGAAAUGCGUAGAUAUCAGGAGGAACAUCCGUGGCGAAGGCGGCCAUCUGGACCAGCACUGACACUGAGGCACGAAAGCGUGGGGAGCGAACAGG
rnacentral:rRNA from 1 species